rnacentral:rRNA from 1 species
UACGGAGGGAGCUAGCGUUGUUCGGAAUUACUGGGCGUAAAGCGCACGUAGGCGGCGAUUCAAGUCAGAGGUGAAAGCCCGGGGCUCAACCCCGGAACUGCCUUUGAAACUAGAUUGCUAGAAUCCUGGAGAGGUGAGUGGAACUGCGAGUGUAGAGGUGAAAUUCGUAGAUAUUCGCAAGAACACCAGUGGCGAAGGCGGCUCACUGGCCCGGUACUGACGCUGAGGUGCGAAAGCGUGGGGAGCAAACAGGGAUAGAAACC